GUCAUCUUCUGCCUUCAAGUUGUCAAAUAGCAUAAAUCAUCCAGACACCAAUCAAACUGCCACAGAAGAGCAUUCCUCGACAGCUCUUAAAUUUUCCAACAGAACACAGCGUGGUUUUUGUCAUCCUGCUCUCAGAUGCUUGUUUUUCCCACUCUGUCAACUUUUUCUGCAGGACUGUCCACCACUGCUUUCUUAAUGUUGAACUGAUAUCAACGCAUCUUCCUUAGAAAUGGAUUUCAAUUUUUGUGUUCGUUUUGACUUCGGAUAAGGCAUUGUGGUCAUGCCUUGUAUAAUCUGGAAAUUUCCUGCAAUACCAGAUGUAUUGCUGAAAGCCACCACUUCUGUUUGUGUAUUAUCCUGAAAAAUUUUUACAUCGUCUAAUUGUGUCUGGUGUUCCUGUGCCAGAGGAAAGGGAAAAGAACGCAUCAAGAUGCUUGGGAGACAAUGUAUGUUUGCAAAAGUCAGGAGCAUGGUGGUCAAAAGGAGCUGCCUACACUGUUCAUAACAGAUGCUUCUGCCAGUGUGACCUGCUAUUGAACGUGAGACCUAAUACCCUUCAGCCUCAGAAGGAAAGAUAAAAUAAACCUUCAGAGAUCCCAGAACUUGCCAGGUGAUCUCAAUGGCAUGCCUUAGAGACAAAAAACAACACUCCUGGGGUCUGUGGAGCUGCUGCAGUUGCAGAUUUCUAUCUCCAGUGCUGUGCGGCUGGGGGGCAUGUCCUCAUGGAAUACUUACCUGACCUAGGACUGCAUGGAAAAAGAAGAUAGAGGUGCAUAACCUGACACGUUUAUGCACCUGCAUUCUUGGGACUUGGAUAUGAAUCCUUGGCCCAAGCUACCAAAUUAAAGACCUGAAACCAGCUGGAGAUUUUUUUGUCACAGGAAAAAGAAAAGCUUCAGAAACCAGUAAUUGUGUUUGGAAAAUCAUCUCUUCCAGAGCAUCAGAAACCCCAACAAACAUAGUUUUAUUACAGGUAGCACUGGGAAGAGACUUUUUUAAUGAAGUUUGACACAAAAUGUUUCAGAACCCAGCCUUCUUCAGAUGAACGUGAUGCUGCAAUUUUAUGAUCAGCUAUUAAAGGACCAAGAAAAAAAUCUUCCUAAAUGAUCUUCUCUAAGAGCCUCCGCUUCAUGUUAAUUCCAUCGACAAAGCGUAGCUCUGCCUCUCAGCUUUUUUCACAAGGGUAUUUCCUCACAUGCAUGUUCCUUUUUCCUCCUCCCACUGCCCUCCACUCAGAAGGUUUUCCCAAGCAGCCAUUUUUCCCCAGUGAUCCUCCAUGGGCCAAGCCUUCACAAGGAACUGAAGAGCCACAGAGAGCAGCUUCUCUAGGAGGGAGGUCCCACACAGACAAACCGUUGAGAGAUUUAUAGAGAUUACAGAGUUGAUACCUUUUUAUUUGCCUCCCUAAAAUAUUAAAGUUGCAAGCCUCAGAUGAGCAAGACAAACUAGAAAGGUUGUGGAACCAUGUAACAACAUCCCCUGCAGUACAAGUAAUAAAUGGAGAUUGGGGAUAAAUAAACAUUGUACACAGGUCAGACAUAAGGUAUGUAUUGGUCUGUGGAUCUGCCUGGGAAGAUCACGAGCCAGGUGGGCAUUACAGAGACCUAAACGCGUGGAAACAUGAACAGCUCUAUCCAGGCUCACUUACUAAAGUAUGGAUGAAGUGUUAAGAUUAAAUAAAGAGUUAUGUUGAGUUGAUAUUUAGCUGGUGUUCAGCUUCUCAUGAUCGGUCUACUCAGCAAUAGCAUGGCUUAUGACUCAAAGAAAGAGAAACUAGGCUGUUCAGAGAAACAAAGAAAAGGGAUAAAAUUUUUGCUGUUUUCUAUCAAAAAAUAAACCAGAUUAUAGUUUAGAGUGAAUGUUUCCUAUGCAGAAAUUAUAUCAGGAGGAGAUAAUUAAUAUAAUAAAGUCACAUUUUAAAGGCACACUCACAGAGUGUGCAGUGCCUGCUGACUUCUUUCCUACUUUCAGGUUGGAUAUUAGUAGGAAAGGAAUGGACUUUUGUCCACUUUUUCAAUCUCAGUGUUCGCUACAAGGCACCACAGCUGUAAAAGUUGCCUUUCCAUCCUGCUGACCACUGCCAGUGCUGGUCCUGCCCCAGACCUUUCCCUCAGUGAGCUGGAUGUGAAAGGAGCAAGGCAGCCCCAGCACAAUGCUCAUCAGUGUG